ensembl:snoRNA
UUGCACUGUCUUUGAACCUUUUUGGUCUGUUCUGUGACCUCUUAGGCCAAGCUACAGUGCUAAAGUGAAUUCAGGCUUGUUUAUAACUGGGGCCUCCUGGCAACACUCCCAGGUCGCUCUUUUAAGAGCAAGUCACAGAU